GCAGGAGCUGGGCCAAGGACGGCGCUGAUUGGCUGUGGCGGGGCCGGGGCGGGGCGCUGGGGCCGGGCGGCGCGUGCGCAGUGCGGAGCGGUGAGUCGGGGUGGGGGUGUGGCGGUGGGCGCUGUUGCUGGCGCCCCGUGAGGGCCGGGCCGUAGCUCCGGCCCGGGGACCCGGAAACCGGGACACAGCCCUGGUUCCGGCCCCGGUACCGGCCGCUGCCUCCCCUGCGCUGCCCCCGCGCGAGCGGAGCCGGCGAUAUUCUUAGCACCUGCAGUGGGAAGUGACACAAGGCUGGGGAUCUCUGGAAGCAGCCCUGCGAAGGGAGACGGCACCUGCUUACCGAGGCUCUGUCGGAUCCAUUCUGGCUGUGGUUCACGAGGCAGCUCAGCAAAACCCCAAAUCCCUCUGAGUCUUUGGGAAACCUGAAAUGUUCCUGAGAGCUAAGCCCUGCUUUUGCAUGAGGCUGGUGGCAAUGUCUCCUUGGGCCGGGCUCCUCUCCACCACUGCCAGAGUCAGCCUGCUGCUGCUGCUGGGGUCUGUGCUCUUCUCCUGCUCCAGCCUGGGCCACAGAGUGCCUGAGUUUGCCCUUACAAAAAUAGAAGAGAGCGACAUGAAAGAUGACAGUGGGAAGGAGCCGGGGACAGAGGAUGACGCUGAUCCCGAAGACCUGGAAGUGUUUUACCCCACGGAUCAGUGGCAAACCCUGCGUCCAGGUAACUGCUGCUGGCUAAUUAUAGCAUGCCUCUGGAGGCCACCUGCCAGCUCUGACAGGAGCCUUGCAGACGCUCCAAGAGCUGCUUGUUCCCAUGACAAUGUGUGCUUUUGCUGGUGUUCACAUAAAGAGAAGGACGUGGUGACCCAGUGCAGGGACUGGAGGCCGUGGGCAAAGCAUCCAAGGAGGUCACUGGAGCAGGAGGAGUGGGCUGCCAGCCCCCUUGUGGGGUGGGGCUGCCUCUGUCCCUGGCUCCGCAGCUGUUGGAAUCUGAGGUAUUGAUGAUCCUGAGAUUGUAGAAAGUCUCUGUCUGUCAGCCCCCUGCCAAAGCAGAAGCCAUAAUUGGUCUGUGCUGGUUCCAAGGUUGUUUAUUCUGUUUAUCUCUCACAUGUUCUGCUGCCCUGCCCAGCUCUGUCCUGCAGGGCAGCGUGUGGGGCUCUGCCCUCAGUGGGAUGUUACAAACAUUAAAUACCAGAAACUCCCUGGGCUGGAUUUACAAGAACGUGCUAAUAUCUGUCACCUACGUUGGACAGUGUGUCCCCAGCCUGAACCAACAGAAAAAUGCCAACACCACAGUGAAACAUGGAGGGCAUGGAGAAGGAGAAAAAGGACAAGGCACAUCCAAUUUCCUCCAUCUUGUCCCCUUUGGACCCCCAAUCUAGAAUCCUAAAAUUUUACUUUUGCACCCGUGCCAC
rnacentral:lncRNA from 1 species